rnacentral:tRNA from 1 species
GUGUCGUGGCUCAGUGGUAGAGUGCUUGCCUAGCAUGCACAAAGCACUGGGUCCGAUCCUCAGUUCGAGAUA